rnacentral:rRNA from 1 species
AGAAUCAACGCUGGCGGCGUGCCUAACACAUGCAAGUCGCACGAGAAAGUGGAGCAAUCCAUGAGUAAAGUGGCGCACGGGUGAGUAACACGUGAAUUAUCUACCUCCGAGUGGGGAAUAACUGAGAGAAAUCUUAGCUAAUACCGCAUAACACUUACGAGUCAAAGCAGCAAUGCGCUUGGAGAGGAGUUCGCGGCCGAUUAGUUAGUUGGCGGGUAAUGGCCCACAAGACGAUGAUCGGU